rnacentral:lncRNA from 1 species
AAAAUUUGGGAGAGUUUAUUCUGAGCUGAAAUCUGAGGACCAUGGCCCGGGGCCCUUCUUCCCAAAGGAAGAAAGGGCACCAAAGAAGUGGGGUGCACAGAGUGGUUAUAUACCCCCAGAGAGGAUGUUUCACAUAGGAUUGAAAUGUCCCUUUCACAAUAGUCGCGAGACUGCUCUGUCAGCACAGCGAUUGAUGGAAACAGCAGGUAGGGCUUCUUUCUCAGUGAACGCAGCAGGGUGGCAGUCUGUUGUCUCGAGCUGGGUGGUCAGAGGUGAGCUGGGUGGUCAAAGGUGAGUGCAGCAAUCAGUUCCUAGCCUAAGGAAAGAUGCUUAUCCCUAAGGAAAUGCCAAUGUGGGGGGAAGUUGCACCUUUAUCUCAAGGGCCUUUGUUCUGGCCAUAGGAAAUGUCUAAGCAGAUAUACAAUGCGUGCUCAAUAGCCACAGUCAGGCCCUUUUGGAAACAACAAAGUCAGGCGAAAUUAGGUUUAUACCAAAUGGCUUCCUCAUAUACUCCAAUAUAUCCUAUUGCUUGCCAUUUCUAUUUGUCAUAACGUACAGCAUGGGUACUACAGUUAAUAAUAUUCUGUUGUGUAUUUGAAAGUUGCUCAGAGAGUAGCUCCUAGAAGUUCUCAUCACAAGAAAAAAAAUGUGUCACUAUGUAUGGUGAUGGAUGUUAAUUAGACUUACUGUGGUGACCAUUUCGCAAUAUACACAAAUACCAAAUCAUCAGGAGAUUACCUGAGACUAACAUAAUGUCAAUUAUAUCUCAAAAAAAUUAUAAUACUCACUUCCAAAUGGUAUCAAAAUAGAAAACUUGUGUGAUUCAAUUUUUAGCACAGUUUCUGUUUCCUCACCAUUUUAGGAAGCACAGAGGCAUGAAGGGUGGGGGGAACAGGGCCCAGCACCUUAGUGGGAAUUUCAAGGUCUUUGGACUUAGGCUGGAAUCUCUGUUCCAUCACUGACCACUUGUGUGACCAUGGGCAAGUUCCCUAAUCUCUCUGAGCCUCAGUUUCUCAUCUCUAAAAUGGAGACAAAACUACCUAUUUUACAAGUUUAUUUAUGAGAAUUAAAUUAGGAAGUUUCUAUUAAGUACUAACUCAGUGCCUCCUACACAGUAGGCGUAAAUGAUAGUUCUCAUCACCAUCCUUAUCCUAGUAGUCAAUCAGUUUCCAUAACCAUCCUUACCCUACCCAUAUUUUACGCUAGAACCAAGUAUUGAAUCUCUCUCUUUUUUUUUUGAGGAAGAUUGGCCCUGAACUAACAUCUGUUGCCAAUCUUCUCUAUUUUAUGUGGGAUGCCACCACAGCGUGGCUUGAUGAACAGUGCUAGGUCCAUGCUGGGGAUCCAAACCCGUGAACCCUGGGCCACCAAAGCUGAGUGCAUGAACUUCACCACUACACCACCAGGACGCCCCUCAAUGAGUAAAUAUUCAGUACCUGCUAUUUAUCCAGCAUGCUACUGCCUGUUGGCGGAGGGGUGGGGGUAGAGCUGGAGAUCUGAAAAUCCAAUGACAAGAUGGUAAUCUGAUUAAAAGGAAGAUAUUAGCACAAGAAUGUUUAUUGAACGGUGCUAUAGAUGGGUGUUCAAAUGUGUGUUAAAAGAUAAAAGAGAUUUACUUCAAGUGAGAUGCAAUGAGGAGCCACUGCUGCCCUGGGCCCAGCUCCCCCAGUGGCUGAUUGGAGCAUUCAUGUCACCAUCCCACGGCCUGGCUUCAUGGGCUCCAGCCCUCUGCAGUUACAGCCUCUCGCAGCCCCCACUCCCACGCUCAGAAGGGCCCCGUGCUUGGCUUAACGCUCUGCUGUCGUCGCCUUGAAAUUUUUCAUAAUUUCUAAUAGGCUCUGCAUUUUCAUUUUGCACUGGGCCCCACACAUUAUGUAGCCAGUCCUACUUAUAGGAAUUUGAGCGGUUAUGCUGAAUUCAUUUUUUCCCCAGCACCUGACACAUCAUGCGCUCAUAAAUAUUUCUGGAACGGAUGAAUAGGCCAGCCACUGGGUGUCUUCUCCACCUCAGGUGCUCUUUUACACCCAGGGUUAUAACCUAGAGCCCCUCACACACACACAUGCACACGCAUGCACACACACACGCAUGCACACACGUACACUCCAACACAUGCACACACACACAUACAUACCCACACACUCCUUUUCCUGAGAUUGUUCUCAGACCAACUGGCGCUCUGAAGAAAACAAAUUUAUAGCACAUAUUUAAAAAGCAAUUCAACUAAAAUUUCCGAAACCUGAUGGAGCAAGAGCAGACAAGUAGAGGAUACCUUUGAAAAGAGAUUCAGAUAUACAAUUUUUCUUGCAGUAAAUGUACAUAACAUAAAGUUUACCAUUUUAACCCUUUUAAAGUAUACAGCCCAGUGCCAUGAAGUACAUUCACAUUGUUGUGCAAUCAGCACCCCCACCCAUCUCCAGACCUCUUCCAUUAUCCCCAGCCGAAACCUGUACCCAUCCAACAAUAACCACCAUUCCCCACCGCCCGCAGCUCCUGGGAACCACCAUUGUCCGUUCUGUCUGUACGACUUUGACUAUUCUGAGUAGCGCACAUCAAUGGAAUUGUACAAUAUUUGUUCCUUUGUGUCUGUCCUGUUUUACUUAGUAUAAUGUCUUCAAAGUUUGCCCAUGUUGUAGCAUGUAUCAGAAUUUCAUUCCUUUUUAAGGCUGGAUAAUAUUCCACUAUAUGUACACACCACAUUUGGUUUAUCCAUUACCCUGUUGAUGGACAUUUAGGCUGUUUCAGAUAUAUUUUUCUAAAAGGAAACAUCAUAAUAUUCCCUGAGAGUCUUAAAAUUUUAUAAUAUGCACCAUAAAGUCUUUUUGAUGAUGGGGGAUAAUCUCUCUCAGUGUCAGUGAACCAACCAGCCCCUCUUUCCCACAUGGUCUCGGAGGUCUUCUGUGACCACAGAGAGAAUGCUGCCAAGAAAAAAAAAGAUAAGAUGACCUUUCCAGAGGUAAGACUGUGGUCAAACCUGGGCUUAUUGAGCACUGUCUCAGAAAUGUCCAUUCAAUACCCACAUACCCAGUGAGAGCACCAGCCUCAUAAAAAGACACAGAUGGCGGGCCAGCCUGGUGGCAUAGCGGUCGGGUUCACGUGCUCUGCUUCAGCAGCCCAGGGUUCGCAGGUUUGGAUCCUGGGUGCAGAGCUAGCACUGCUUGUCAGGCCAUGCUGUGGUGGCAUCCCACGUAAAAUAGAGGAAGACUGGCACAGAUGUUAGCUCAUCAACAGUCUUCCUCAAGCAAAAAGAGGAAGAUGGACAACAGAUGUUAGCUCAGCGCCAAUCUUCCUCACAAAAAAUAAAAAGACACAGGCACAUUUAUCAAUGGCCUUACACCCCUAGAGAUCACUCCCACAUAACCCAAAUGAGCCCCAAAUCAUGGCAUCAGGUUUGCAAUGAGGCAGACUCAGGCAGGUGAGAUUUGGAGCCUCUUGCUCCACUGAGAGAGUAGUUUUUUCAUAUCCGGAGCUUGUGGUGUAUGUGGGAUGGGGAGGGGGUUGCCAGAGUUGAUGUGAGUACCCACGUCUAUGGCUUAUCUGUUAUGAACAUGCCAACCUUAUCACCACACUCGAUCUACCCAAGUCACUGAAGGGCCUCAACAGACAGCAGUCAGCACAGCGAACAGUGUCUUCAACUCCAACAGAUGGAGUCCAGGUGACAGUUCUCCUUCCUUCCUGUUCUGUUCAUAUUCGUCACAUAUUUGGAGAGCACCCACUAUACGCGUGCCGGGCAUCCUUCCAGCGACUGCAGAAGUG